GAGUCAUGACUGGGGUGAAGUCGUAACAAGGUAGCCCUAGGGGAACCUGGGGCUGGAUCACCUCCUUAUACGA
rnacentral:rRNA from 1 species